AAAUUGAAGAGUUUGAUCAUGGCUCAGAUUGAACGCUGGCGGCAGGCCUAACACAUGCAAGUCGAACGGUAACACAGAGGAGCUUGCUCCUUGGGUG
rnacentral:rRNA from 1 species